UCCCUGGUGGCUCAGAGGAUAAAGCGUCUGUCUGCAAUGCAGUAUACCUGGGUUCAAUCCCUGGAUUGGGAA
rnacentral:tRNA from 1 species